AACGAACGCUGGCGGCAUGCCUAACACAUGCAAGUCGAACGUGAUCCGGAGCUUGCUCCGGUGAAAGUGGCGCACGGGUGAGUAACGCGUGGGAACCUGCCCAGAGGUAGGGAAUAACCGCGGGAAACUGCGGCUAAUACCCUAUAUUCCCUUCGGGGGAAAGAUUUAUCGCCUUUGGAUGGGCCCGCGUCGGAUUAGCUAGUUGGUGAGGUAACGGCUCACCAAGGCGACGAUCCGUAGCUGGUCUGAGAGGAUGAUCAGCCACACUGGGACUGAGACACGGCCCAGACUCCUACGGGAGGCAGCAGUGGGGAAUAUUGGACAAUGGGCGCAAGCCUGAUCCAGCAAUGCCGCGUGAGUGAUGAAGGCCUUAGGGUUGUAAAGCUCUUUCGGCGGGGAAGAUGAUGACGGUACCCGCAGAAGAAGCCCCGGCUAACUUCGUGCCAGCCGCCGCGGUAAUAC
rnacentral:rRNA from 1 species